rnacentral:rRNA from 1 species
UACGAAGGGGGCUAGCGUUGCUCGGAAUCACUGGGCGUAAAGCGCACGUAGGCGGCUUUUAAGUCAGGGGUGAAAUCCUGGAGCUCAACUCCAGAACUGCCUUUGAUACUGAGAAGCUUGAGUCCGGGAGAGGUGAGUGGAACUGCGAGUGUAGAGGUGAAAUUCGUAGAUAUUCGCAAGAACACCAGUGGCGAAGGCGGCUCACUGGCCCGGUACUGACGCUGAGGUGCGAAAGCGUGGGGAGCGAACAGG